UACGUAGGUGGCAAGCGUUGUCCGGAUUUACUGGGUGUAAAGGGCGUGUAGCCGGGCUGACAAGUCAGAUGUGAAAUUCCGGGGCUCAACCCCGGACCUGCAUUUGAAACUGUUGGUCUUGAGUGGGCGAGAAGUAUGCGGAAUGCGUGGUGUAGCGGUGAAAUGCAUAGAUAUCACGCAGAACUCCGAUUGCGAAGGCAGCAUACCGGCGCCCGACUGACGCUGAGGCACGAAAGCGUGGGGAUCGAACAGG
rnacentral:rRNA from 1 species